rnacentral:tRNA from 3 species
GCUUCUAAAGGAUAACAGCUCAUCCACUGGUCUUAGGAACCAGAGACUCUUGGUGCAAAUCCAAGUAGCAGCU